GGCGAACCGUGCAAACGUUGUUCGGAAUCACUGGGCUUAAAGGGCGCGUAGGCGGCAGACCAAGUCCGGGGUGAAAUCUUUCGGCUUAACCGGAAAAGGGCCUUGGAUACUGGUUUGCUAGAGGGAGGUAGGGGUCUGUGGAACUUCUGGUGGAGCGGUGAAAUGCGUUGAUAUCAGAAGGAACGCCGGUGGCGAAAGCGACGGACUGGAUCUCUUCUGACGCUGAGGCGCGAAAGCCAGGGGAGCAAACGGG
rnacentral:rRNA from 1 species